GUCAUCUCCAUUAAGAAUCAGCUUAUUGGCCGGGCGCAGUGGCUCACGCCUGUAAUCCCAGCACUUUGGGAGGCUGAGGUGGGCAGAUCACGAGGUCAGGAGAUCGAGACCAUCCUGUCUAACACGGAAUCCUUUCUGGCACUCAAGAGUUUUCAAUUCAAUCCUGAUGAAUGAAUCAUUAUUUGAUACCAGCCUAAGUGAAGACUCUGCCUGGUGACUUAUGCAAGAGCUUUAGUGUUUAUCCAGCUAUUGGUAUGCAGACAACUAUACCCUUAUGAGAAACACUAGCAGAGAAGAAGAGUUCUUGACUGAGUCUGGGCCAUGAAACUGACCGGAUAAAAGUGGGAGAAGAAGAGAUGUUGAAGGAGGGUUUGCUGUUUUCUCAGUCUCCUGAGAAAUUCCAGGUUUGGAUGCUUCCUAAGGCCAUUCCCACUCUCCUCUAUCUAAACCAGAGAGAACGAUUGCUUGUCCUUAUCACAUUAUCCUUGCUUUCACUGUAAAUGAUGAUAAAUAAUAAUCUCUACACUUGCAUUUGCAUACAGCACUGCUUGCUUUUUCAAAGAACACUCAAGUCUGUUCUCACAUUUGAUUCUCACACCAGGCUUGGAGAUAUUUGAGGCAUCUCCUCCCCCCAAACUCAGUUGGACAGAUCAGAAAAAUGAGGUCCAGCAAACUGAAAUGACUUGCUCCAGAACUCACAGACAAUUAAUGACUAGAACCCAGGUCUUCUAACUUCCUACCAAUUAUUGUGAGGAGAGCCCAUAAAGGAGAAAAGGACAAGGGAUGAUCUAUGGAACAUUCAAACUCCUGUCUCUAGUUGCCUUUUUCUGGUUGUUUCUUGGACAUCACGCACUCUCAUCAGCAGCCUUCCUACUCUUACAGAUUAUCAACACCUGUCCCAAAAUCCUGGGGCCAGCCAUGGUGCUUGGGCUUUUUUUCCCCACAUCUAACCAUUCCGCAGCAUAUAACAAAUCCUUGACAAAUUUCCAGUGGAAAAAAAUAGCAGAAACCAUACACCCUCCAUCUGUGAAUUGAUGUGGCCAAGAACAGGCUUAUUUCAAAGGGUGCACCAUAGAAUAGUCAUAAGACUCAACCCCUCCAAGACUAGCUGGUGCUUAUCCCGCCCAUAGGCAGUUAAAAGGACUUUAUUUGCAUCUUAUUCUUUCCAACAGAAAGGCAAACAUUAUUAUUACAAUUCAGUAAAUUUCCAUAAGGAACCCCAUUGACACAUGUUGUAUAUUUUGGGUUCUUUUGUUUCAUACUGAGCAUACUAACAUUAUAUCAAUAUUAUAUUUAUCUAGCAUUCUCCCAUAUUCAUAGAAAUAGAGAACUCAUCGGCCUUUAAAAAGAACUCAAAUGCACACAAAAUUCCACCCUCUAGAAAAGCAUCAAUGAAAAUGAUUUUGCAAAUAUAUAUACUUUUCAAUAUGUAAGUAUCUACAAAAAAAUUGAUAAUAAUUAAAUACCUGUAAAGUGCCAUGCACUUUACCUGUAUAUCUCAUUUAAUUCUCACAACAACCCUGUGAAGUAAGAAUUACUACGCCCAUUUUAUAGAUGAACUAACUAGGAGUCAAAGACGUUGAGCCACUUGCCACACAUUUACAGCACGGAGCUACAAAGAUCUGGGACUUGAAUCCAGGUUUUCUAACUCCAGAGCCAAAGCUUUUCUUAAUAUGCCACAGGAGCAAGCACAGGAGCUUGCUCCAAAAGUCAAGUUAAUUUUUAGGAAAGAAUUAGGUAAGCAAAUAUUCAUGAAUUAGAGAAUGUCUUUAAUUUCAGAUCCAAAUCACUUGGUCACUUAAAAAUAAAAGACAAUAAAUCAUAAGGGAUUCUACUUGACUUAUUAUCUAAAGUGAUUAAUAAGAAUGACAUUUCCCCACCAACCCCAAAUGAAAAAAUCAAUUUGGGAAGUUUCCCAAUAAUUUAAACUUGAAACACUAAUCUGAAAAAGAAAAUCUGUAUAUCAAAAGUCUUCAUAGUAUGGCACAAAUAAAACAGAAUCUUAAUUUCCAAUUUCUAUUAAACUGAUUUUUCUUUUAAACUGGAGCCAGAAAGCCAAAAAGCCUUCAAAUCAAUUGAGCCUCUUGCAUUUUAUUUAAGAGGUUUCAUUUUUCAAACCAAAGCUGGGAAGACAAAACAAGCUUAUUUAAUUCACACCCCAGAAUUGUAAUUUCUCUGUUCAAGCCAAUGUCUAAGUGCCUGUAUUAAGGGCUUCCCACUGACCAUUAUGUGUUAAUUCAUCACCGCACACAAUUUUCCUUUGUAUUUUUAAGCUACUCUUCAUUUUCCCCUUGGUUAGGGUUGCCUAUACAACAGAAGACACCCAGUAAAACAUAAAUUUCAGAUAAACAACAAAUAGUCUUUACAUAAGCAUGCCCCCUGCAAUAAUUGAGACAUACUUAUACCCCCAAAAUUAUUUAUCUGAAAUUCACAUUUAACUAGACAUCCUGUAUUUUUAUUUGCUAAAUCUGGCAACCCUAUUCUUGAUCCAUUGUGGGUAUUCCCAGGACUUCACCUCUAAACUAUUAUAUUUUUCAAAUACAUUAUUUGUAUGUUUUGUGGUGUGUGUGUGUGUGUGUGUGUGUGCGCGCACGCGUGCCUCUCAGAAUGGAGGUUCUGGAGCAUCUCUCACUCUUGAGACCACAGCUAUCUAUCACUUUGGUUAUCAAUGUGU